AAUCAACGCUGGCGGCGUGCCUCAGACAUGCAAGUCGAACGCGAAAGUCUCCUUCGGGGGAUAAGUAGAGUGGCGCACGGGUGAGUAACACGUAGGUAAUCUACCUUUGGAUGGGGAAUAACAACCGGAAACGGUUGCUAAUACCGCAUAAUGCAGCGGCACCUAAUGGUGACAGUUGUUAAAGCGGGGGACCGUAAGACCUCGCGUCUGAAGAGGAGCCUGCGGCGGAUUAGCUAGNGGUAAGGUAAUGGCUUACCAAGGCUACGAUCCGUAACCGGCCUGAGAGGGCGGGUCGGUCACACUGACACUGACAUACGGGUCAGACUCCUACGGGAGGCAGCAGUCGGGAAUUUUGGGCAAUGGGCGAAAGCCUGACCCAGCAACGCCGCGUGAA
rnacentral:rRNA from 1 species